CGGACGGGUGAGUAACACGUGGGUAACCUACCUAUAAGACUGGGAUAACUUCGGGAAACCGGAGCUAAUACCGGAUAACAUUUGGAACCGCAUGGUUCUAAAGUGAAAGAUGGUUUUUGCUAUCACUUAUAGAUGGACCCGCGCCGUAUUAGCUAGUUGGUAAGGUAACGGCUUACCAAGGCGACGAUACGUAGCCGACCUGAGAGGGUGAUCGGCCACACUGGAACUGAGACACGGUCCAG
rnacentral:rRNA from 1 species